UGAGGAACAUGACCUUCGGCGGGGGAUAGCCGGCCCAACGGCCGGGUAAUACCGCGUACGACCUUUCGGGGACAUCCCUGGAUGGUGAAAGCAGCAAUGCGCCGAUGGAGUGCCUCGCGGCCUAUCAGCUAGUUGGUGAGGUAACGGCUCACCAAGGCAACGACGGGUAGCUGGUCUGAGAGGAUGGCCAGCCACAUUGGGACUGAGACACGGCCCAGACUCCGUACGGGAGCAG
rnacentral:rRNA from 1 species